GGACGAACGCUGGCGGCGUGCUUAACACAUGCAAGUCGAGCGGUAAGGCCCUUUCGGGGGUACACGAGCGGCGAACGGGUGAGUAACACGUGGGUGACCUGCCCUCAGCUCUGGGAUAAGCCUGGGAAACCGGGUCUAAUACCGGAUAUGACUCCAUGACGCAUGUUGUGGGGUGGAAAGCCUUGUGCGGCUGAGGAUGGGCCCGCGGCCUAUCAGCUUGUUGGUGGGGUGAUGGCCACCAAGGCGACGACGGGUAGCCGGCCUGAGAGGGCGACCGGCCACACUGGGACUGAGACACGGCCCAGACUCCUACGGGAGGCAGCAGUGGGGAAUCUUGCGCAAUGGGCGAAAGCCUGACGCAGCGACGCCGCGUGAGGGAUGACGGCCUC
rnacentral:rRNA from 1 species